rnacentral:rRNA from 1 species
ACACGCAUGACACACUGCAUAUCAAUAAGCGGAGGAAAAGAAACUAACUAGGAUUCCCUCAGUAACGGCGAGUGAAGCGGAAAGAGCUCAAAUUUGAAAUCUUCAAGGUUCUACCUUGACGAAUUGUAGUUUAAAGAAGUGUUUUCUGUUGGAGUUUUGGUAAAAGUUCUUUGGAAUAGGACAUCAUAGAGGGUGAGAAUCCCGUAUUUGACCAUUAUUUCCAGCUGUGUGAUACACUUUCAAAGAGUCGGAUUGUUUGGGAAUGCAGUCCAAAAUGGGUGGUAAAUUUCAUCUAAAGCUAAAUAUUGGCGAGAGACCGAUAGCGAACAAGUACCGUGAGGGAAAGAUGAAAAGAACUUUGAAAAGAGAGUUAAACAGUACGUGAAAUUGUCAAAAGGGAAGCGUUUGACACCAGUGUUGUUUUCUCGAAAAUCAAUUAAAAACGAUGGGAUUUUGUGUUGUAUUGACUUUAUCAGCUUUCUGCACUUUUUUCUUAUCUUUUUUAAUGCACUUUUCGUUUAACAAGUCAACAUCAAUUUCUUUUGUUGUAAAAGAGUCAUUGGAAGGUGGCUUUUUCUUCGGAAAAAGUGUUUAUAGCCUUUGAUCUCUGCAACCGGAGAGACUGAGGUCUGCAGCGUAGACUCUUCGGGGUUAGAUACACUUGUGCUAAGCUAUAGCCUUUUCAUAGACAACUUGUUGACUAUGCUCAGUCAUGUAGCUUACUCGCUUAUGCUAUUUUACCUACGCUUAGGAUGUUGAGCGCAUGUCUCUCUC